rnacentral:lncRNA from 1 species
UUCAUUCUUUCCUGUUUCUCUGCAUUUUUUCUUAUUUUUUUUUGUUGCAAACUGGAUAUUUUAGAUAAUAUAUUGUUGGCAACUCUGCGUUCUGGUCUCCAUAUUCCAUGCUUAUUAGUGUCAUCUGCUUCUUUGUUUAGUAACUAGCUGGAUUAUUUUAGUGAUUAUUUUAAGGAAGUCUAUCUGCCCCACUCCACCCCCCAGCAGUUUAACCUCUGAUAUUAGUCCACAGAGAGGCACAGUUUUGGGCAUGCCCACAGUCAACCUGGAAUGACAAUGGUUUUGGAAGGGCUCUUAUCAUCUCUUUCUUUGACCACUACCAGCUGUUAAGCUCCAUUCCUUGACAGCUGAUGAUUGUGUUGUUUUAAAUAAUGCCCUAUGCAUACACUGCUUUAUGGUCUUAUCCAAUCAAAGUAGCACUCCCUUGAAAGAAGGUUUUAAUUUCUCCACACUGUGUUGCAAAUGAAGUCAAUUCCUUUGGGAAGAUAUUAGCAGCCAUUAGUAGCUACUUGCCUGCUUUCCCCUGCCCCUAGGCAAAAAAUAUCUCAGUCAGGGUUCUGGAACUUGUGGUAUUGCUGAAUGAUGUCUCCAAAGUAGGAGCUGUGCACUCGUCAAAGGGGAGGAGGUGGAACAACAGCUUGAGGUCCUCUCAGCUUGCCACUUGAUAAGCUAGGAUGAGAGUGCUAUGGGCCCUACUCUUCUCAGUGGUUCUGCACGCAAGGUAGAUCCUCAAUUCCAUGAGUCACGGCUGGGUGGAAAAAGGGAGUCCCAACCUCUAGACUACAUUCAUCGAGAACUUAGCCUCAGUAACAGAUAAUUGAUAGCAUUCUGCCUCAGGAGAAGCGCUGACAUCCUGCUCCUUCUAGGACAAAAGCCCUCUGACUAGGAGCUGGGGGAACAUGUAGCCCUGUGUUUUUGGCCACACCAGUCUGGAGUGACGUUUGUCUUGCUGAGCUAUUAGAGGGGAGAGAGGGAAUAGUCAGUUCAAAUGCCACAGACUUGCUUUUCUUACUGAAUUUUUAUAGAUUUUCUUGAAUAGAUGCUUCUUUGUUUGCUAGGUUUUAAAUUGUUCUAUUUAUUUGUUUAUUUGGUCAUUUUGUCUUUUUUAUGGCCACAGCCAUGGCAUGUGGACAUUCCCAGGCUAGGGGUUGAAUCAGAGCUGCAGCCGCUAGCCUAUGCCACAUCCACAGCAACUCGGGAUCUGAGCCACGUCUGCAACUUACACCACAGCUAUGGCAAUGCUGGAUCCUUAACCUGCUGAGUGAGCCAGGAAUUGAAACUGCAUCCUCACUAACUGCUGAGCCAUGGUGGGAACUCCUAAAUGAUUGUUUUAAAAGAAAUGUUCACAAGUUUCCCUGGGGAGUGUAUCUGUAGAGUUCCCGGUCUAGUCGUUAAGGAUCUGGUGUUGUCACUGAUGUGGCUUGGGUUCAAUCCCUGGCUUGGGAACUUCCUCAUGUGGUGGACACACACAAAAAAGUUGAUUUUCUUCAACUUUAGUAGACUUUCUUUUCUUUUAUACUGAAUCAGUUCUUCAAAAUCAUUUCACAUUUUGGUUUGCUUCAUAAAUGAAUGCUGAUUUUCUUUGGUGGCUUUUAGAUUUUCCUAGAGUUUCUAACUUUUUCUUUAGAAAGAAGAGAUGUGUCUUUAUCUGUUCAUUAGGAAUUUUGGGGCAUUUAACCAUAGAAUUCAUUUUUGCCUUGAAAAUAUUAUUUUUUUAAAGUAUAUUUGACUUACAAUGUUGUGUUAGUUUCAGGUGUACAGCAAAGUGAAUCCAUUAUUUUUCAGAUUCUUUUUCCAUAGAGGUUAUUACAUAGUAUUGACUGUGUGUCCUUGUGCUGUAGAACAGGUCCUUGUUAUUUAUCUAUUUUGCAUGAGGUAGUGUGUAUAUGUUAUUUCCAACCUCCUAAUUUUCCCCUUUCCCCCAACAUUUCCCCUUUGGUAACUAUAAGUUUGGUUUCUAAAUCUUUGCAAUCCCUCCCACAAAUCCUUCCUGAGAAAACAAAAAUAAAUAGUCCUAAGCUAAAUUAAAAACAAAUUUGAAGAAGACAAAGCCAAUGAAAUUCUAAACCAGUUAAACUGCCCCUAAAACUGAGAAAAUAAUACCUGGAUAACAUUCGUGUAGCAGACUUAGAAGGGAAAUGAGAGGAAUGACUUUACAGAGAAUGUCUUUGGUGAUGACAAUGGCCACUUUCCUUGGCUCCAUCUUCCUUGACUUAAUUUUUCAUUUAGCUUAGGCCAAUUUUGUUUACUCAGAAAGGAUUUGUGGGAGGGAUGACAGAGGACCAACCCUUGCCUUAUUUGAAAAUGCCCUUACUUUCCACUUUUUUAUUGUUACUUUUCACCUUAAUUUUUAAUUGGUAUUGAUUUGGCCAAAUACAGAAUUUUAUAGUUCAGAUAUCAUUUUACAAGGAACUUGGAAGGUACUUCUUUAAUUCUUUUGGAACCCACUAUUUCCAAUACAAAGUUUAAGGCUAAUUUUGUUUCUUGUUCCUUUGCAAGUAAUCUCCCCUCUUCUCCAUCCCUGGAAACAUUUAAGGAUUUUUUUUUUCAUAGAAAUUUUGAAAUUACAUGAAGACAUGUUUGAAUGUCAUUUUCUCCCCAAGCAUCUCAUUGUCAUACAUGAGCCCUUUCAGUCUGAAGACUUAAGAAUCUUUCCAGCUCAGGGGAAUUACUUUUCUUUUUUUUUUUCUUUUAAAUGAUUUUUAUUUUUUCCAUUACAGCUGGUUUACAGUGUCCUGUCAAUUGUCUACUGUACAGCAAGGUGACCCGUCACACAUACAUACACACAUUUUUUACCUCACAUCAUCCUCCAUCAUGAUCCACAAUAAGUGACUAGAUAUUUUAAAAAGUUAUUUCUAUUUUUCUUCUACAAUUCCUAUUAGAUUUAAUUGGAAUUUUUUUGGCAUUUAAUUUUUUUUAUUGUUUAAAAUUAUUGGCAUAUAGCUGACAUACAGAGCUGUGUUAAUUUCAGGCAUACAGCAAAGUAACCAGUUAUACACAAACAUGUAUCCAUUAUUUUUCAGAUUCUUUUCCCAUAUAGGUAAUUAUGCAGUAUUGAGUAAAUUUCCCUGUGCGAUACAGUAAGUGUUUGUUAUCCAUCUAUUUUAUAUUUAGUAGUGUGUAUAAGUCAUUCCCAACCUGCUAAUUUAUCCCUCCCCCCAUGUUUUUCCUUUGGUAAAUAUAAGUUUGGUUUUAAAAUACUUGAGUCUGUUUUUGUUGUGUAAGUUCUUUUGUUGUCAUUUGUAUUAAUUCCCCAUAUUAGUGAUCUCAUAUGACAUUUGUCUUUCCCUGUUGUAUUUCACUUAGUAUGAUAUUUUCUAGGUUCAUUCAUGUUGCUGCAAAUGGCAUUAUUUCAUUCUUUUUAUUGUUGAGUAAUAUUUCUUUGUGUGUAUGCACCACAUCUUCUUUAUCCAGUCCUCUGUUGGUGGACACGUCUUGGUUGUCCAUCAACAGCCAAGGUUGCUUCCAUGUCUUGGCUACUGUAAAUAGUCCUGCAGUGAACAUUGGGGGUGCAUGUAUCUUUUUGAAUUAUGGCUUUCUCUAGAUAUGUGCCCAGGAGUGGGAUUACUGGAUGAUAUAGCAGUUCUAUAUUUAGUUUUUAAAGGAACCCCUAUAUAGUUCUCCAGCAUUUAUUAUUUGUAGACUCUUUGAUAAUGGCCAUUAUGACUGGUGUGAGGCAAUAACUCAUAGUUUUGAUUUGCAUUUGUCUAAUAAUUAGUGAUGUUGAACAUCUUUUCGUGUGUUUUUAGCCAUCUGUCUAUCCUUAGACAAAUGUCUAUUUAGAUUUUCUGACCAUUUUUAAAUUGCAUUGUAUGUUUUUUUUUUGGUACAAAGAUGUAUGAGAUUAAUCUUUUGGAGAUAAUCCCUUGUUGGUUGCUUCAUUUGCAAAGAUUUUUGUCCCAUUCUGUGGGGUGUCUUAUUUUGUUUGUUUAUAGUUUCCUUUGCUCUGCAAAAGUUUUUAAGUUUAAUUAGGUCCCAUUUGUUUAUUUUUGUUUUUAUUUUUCUUACUCUAGGAGGUGGAUGCAAAAAAGAUAUUGCUGUGAUUUAUGUCAAAGUGUGUUCUGCCUGCUUUCCUUUAGGAGUUUUACAGUAUCCAGCCUUAUGGUUUAGGUAUUUAAUCCAUUUUGAGUUUUUUUAUGUUUGGUGUUAAAAGAGUGUUCUAAUUUCAGUCUUUUGCAUGUAGCUGUCCAGUUUUCCCAGCAUCACCUGUUGGAGAGACUGUCUUUUUUAUGUUAUGUAUUCUUGCUUCCUUUGCUAAAAAUUAAUUGACCACAAGUGCGUGGGUUUAUUUCUGGAAUUUCUAUGCUGUUUCACGAUCUAUAUGUUUAUUGUUGUGCCAGUACCAUACUGUUUUGAUGACUAGCUCUGUAGUAUAGUCUGAAGUCAGGGAGCCUCAUUCCUCUGGUUCCACUUUUCUUUCUCAGGAUUGCUUUGGUUAUUAAGGGUCUCCCAUUUUUCCAUACAAAUUAAAAAAUUUUUGUUCUAGUUCUGUGAAAAAUGCCUUUGGUAAUUCAAUAGGGAUUGAAAUCAAAGAGGAAAUAAGAAAAUACCUAGAGACAAGUCACAAUGAAUAGAUGACAAUCCAAAACCUAUGAGACACAGCAAAAGCAGUUCUAAAAGCAAAGUUUAUAACAAUACAAUAUCACCUCAAGAACCAAGAAAAAUCCUGAGUAAACUACCUAAAUUUACAUCUGAAGCAACUAGAGAAGAACAAACAAAAUCCAAAGUUAGUAGAAGGAAAGAAAUCAUAAGGAUCAGAACAGAAAUAAAUGAAAUUGGGAGUUCCCAUUGUGGUGCACUGGUUAACGAAUCCAACUAGGAACCAUGAGGUUGUGGGUUCGAUCCCUGGCCUUGCUCAGUGGGUUAAUGAACUGGCAUUGCCAUGAGCUGUGGUGUAGGUCUCAGACUCAACUUGGAUCCCACAUUGCUGUGGCUCUGGCGUAGGCUGGUGGCUACAGAUCUGAUUAGACCCCUAGCCUGGGAACCUCCAUAUGCCACGGGGGUGGCUAUAGAAAAGGC